UACAGAGGUGGCUAGCGUUGUUCGGAAUCACUGGGCUUAAAGCGUGUGUAGGCCGGUCAGAAAGUGUCUUGUGAAAUCCCCCGCCUCAAUCGGGGAACUGCUUGGCAAACUACUGACCUUGAGGCAAACAGGGGUGCCUGGAACUCUUGGUGGAGCGGUGAAAUGCGUAGAUAUCAAGAGGAACGCCUGUGGUGAAAACGGGGCACUGGGUUUGUACUGACGCUGAGACACGAAAGCGUGGGGAG
rnacentral:rRNA from 1 species